CUUAGCUUUCUUAAAGUUUUUAUCAUUGCAAAACACCAAUAAAUGUCUUAACAUUUAGUAGAUCAGAUUGGUGUGGAGUGUUCUCUUGCCUCAGUUAGAAUAUUGCACAAAAACAGUAGAAUCAUAUCAGUCACCAAGCACGCCAACACCUUCUCAUCCUGUUGAAGAAUUCGCUCGUACCAAGAUCCCUGGUAAUUAGUAAAUACCAACUGAGUCACCAAUGGUUUUUUUUUCCUCUGUAAAUCAAUUUCAAGCACACAGUCUCUUUCCAAUUAGGCACUGCCUGCAGCAGAAAGGUAAUGUCAGAAACCUCUACUCCAUAUGUUGAAGGCAAGGAUACAGGAAUUCUGUUGGCAAAAGCACAUGCUGAAACAAAUUAAGGCUAAAAGGAGGCAUAUUGACAAAUCAGUGCUUAAAAACUGUGAGAGUCUAGGAAAGAGUUUUAUGUCACAGCUCUGAUUGUUUUUGCUCUGUUUUGCUUUCUUUCCAUACAAUGUUCUUCGGAAAGAGGCAAAUUAUAUUUCUCUUUCCUGUCACCACUUCUGCCUGUGGGCUGGUGUGAUUUCGAGAUGCAUCAAGGGAAACUCCAUGUGAGAAGGGAUGACUCAUUACUGACAGUAGAGAUCGUGGAAGUGUCCAGAGAAGGUGCAAACACUAGAUGGCUUUUGGACAGGACGUACAGAUGUUGUCCUGGAGCAGCUGGAAAAGUUGUCUGAGGAACCACCACUGUAAUUUCCAUAAGUUCUUUCAACUUCUAGUACUAAAGACACUGAUGUAGCUACUGAGUUUAUCAUUGUAUUAGUAUUAAUGGAUAUUAUUGAAUCCCUAAUCGAAAAUAAAGAUGGUGUUGGCUCCCAG
rnacentral:lncRNA from 1 species